UACGAAGGGGGCUAGCGUUGCUCGGAAUUACUGGGCGUAAAGGGCGCGUAGGCGGACAGUUAAGUCGGGGGUGAAAGCCCGGGGCUCAACCUCGGAAUUGCCUUCGAUACUGGCUGUCUUGAGUACGGGAGAGGUGUGUGGAACUCCGAGUGUAGAGGUGAAAUUCGUAGAUAUUCGGAAGAACACCAGUGGCGAAGGCGACACACUGGCCCGUUACUGACGCUGAGGCGACGAAAGCGUGGGGAGCAAACAGG
rnacentral:rRNA from 1 species